ensembl:lncRNA
CAUUAGAUGAUCACUUUUAAUUAGCAACUCUUUCAUGCACCUUAUUUUCUGAGACUUUCUCUCGCCAUUUCUUUGAGAACUCUGUGGAUUUUUCCUUCUUUUAUUUCAUAAUCUUAAUUCUCUUCUCCAGAGGCUCUGCCUGUAUCUUUUCUUCCUUCCGUUGCCUUUUGCCCCUCAUCUUCUCCAGAGGCUCCUGCUGUACUUUUUCUUUUCUCUUCCCUCCUUUGUCUUCACGCUUCAUCUUCUCCAGAGGCUCUGACUGUAUCUUUUCUUUCUUCCUUUGCCUUUUGCCCCUCAUCUUCUCCAGAGGCUCCUGCUGUACUUUUUGUUUUCUCUUUCCUACUUUGGCUUCACUCUUCAUCUUCUCCAGAGGCUCUGACUGUAUCUUUUCUUCCCUCCUUUGCCUUUUGCCCCUCAUCUUCUCCAGAGGCUGCUGCUGUACUUUUUCUUUUCUCUUCCCUCUUUUGUCUUCACGCUUCAUCUUCUCCAGAGGCUCCUGCUGUACUUUUUCUUUUCUCUUCCCUCCUUUGUCUUCACGCUUCAUCUUCUCCAGAGGCUCCUGCUGUACUUUUUCUUUUCUCUUCCCUCCUUUGUCUUCACUCUUCAUCUUCUCCAGAGGCUUCUGCUGUACUUUUUCUUUUCUCUUUCCUACUUUGGCUUCACUCUUCAUCUUCUCCAGAGGCUCUGCCUGUAUCUUUUCUUCCUUCCUUUGCCUUUUGCCCCUCAUCUUCUCCAGAG